UACGUAGGGGGCAAGCGUUAUCCGGAUUUACUGGGUGUAAAGGGAGCGUAGACGGUACGCCAAGUCUGAAGUGAAAUGCCGCAGCUUAACUGCGGAACUGCUUUGGAAACUGGCUGGCUUGAGUUGGGGAAAGGCAGGCGGAAUGCGCGGUGUAGCGGUGAAAUGCAUAGAUAUCACGCAGAACUCCGAUUGCGAAGGCAGCAUACCGGCGCGCAACUGACGCUCAUGCACGAAAGCGUGGGUAUCGAACAGG
rnacentral:rRNA from 1 species